GGCGAUGGCGUGCUGUGAUGGCUGACUCCAUCCCUUCCCACAAACCAUCGCCACCAGCGGCCUAACCCUGCGGCGACGUCCUAGGGAAGAACUCGCUACCUCUUACCGGUAAGGUACCCUUUUCACCAGUCCAAGAAGCAGAUCUAGGCGGGGAUGGCAAUGGCGUGCUGUGAUGGCUGACUCCACCUCCUGAUCUGAAGAACUCGCUAUCGGUAAAGGCUCUGUCACCCACCCAGGAAGCAGAUCUAGGCGGGGAUGGCGAUGGUGUGUUGUGACUCAAUCUUGUUGCUUUCUUCUAGAUCAGGAUCGGAAGAACUCGCUACCGGUAAAGCACCUUUGUGGCCCGCCCACCCAAGAAGCAGAUCUAGGCGGAGAUGCCGAUGGCGUGCUGAGGGUUGAAUCCAGCACCCUAUCGAGGUAUCGGCUAUUCUUCCUCUAAUCGACUCGGGUCUUAUUGAUUUGUUCUAGAUCAAGAUCAAGGUAUCGGCUAUUAUUCCUCUAAUUGACUC